GCUCGUGGGCGAGUGGUUAAGGCGAUAGACUUGAAAUAUUUUGGGAUAUUCCCGCGCAGGUUCGAAUCCUGCCGACAACGCA
rnacentral:tRNA from 1 species